ACUCAAAGGAAUUGACGGGGACCUGCACAAGCGGUGGAGCAUGUGGUUUAAUUCGACGGUAAGCGAGGAACCUUACCAAGGCUUGACAUACUAACGUCCUAUUCUUUGGAAACAGAGAAAAUUCGUAAGAAGGUUAGUACAGGUGCUGCACGGUUGUCGUCAGCUCGUGCCGUGAGGUGUUCACUUAAGUGUGAAAACGAGCGCAACCCCUAUUAUCUGUUACAAGUGUCAGAUGAAACUGCCGGCGUUUAAGCCGGAGGAAGGUGGGGAUGACGUCAAAUCAGCGUGGCUCUUACGCCUUGGGCGACACACGUGCUACAAUGGGUAGCAACAAAGGGAAGCCAAGGAGCAAUCCGGAGCAAAUCCUAGUAAAUCUACUCUCAGUUCGGAUUGAGGGCUGCAACUCGCCCUCAUGAAGCUGGAAUCGCUAGUAACCGUGGAUCAGCCUCGCCACGGUGAAUACGUUCUCAGGUUUUGUACACACCGCCCGU
rnacentral:rRNA from 1 species